CUGGUUGGGAUCCUGACCCUGGUCCUUCCAUCUUCUAUUCUAACCCUGCCCUAUCCCCCAGUCUUUUCACUCUCCUGAGAUAUCUAGACAAGAGGAUCACUUCCUCAGAGCUAUGAUUGCAUCCACCAGUUGAAUUCCAUUUGGCUGUACCUGCACAGUGCUCCAAGAAACAAGAGCUAAUCUGCUGUGAAAGUUCAAGCAAAAGGCAUGUGAUGCGCCUCCAAGCUGCCCUAGCCAAUUAAUCAGGGAAAGGACUCUGCUUCCAUUUUUGCUGUGUCUUGAGAUCUAGUCCAACUUGUUGGCUGAAUUGAUUUAUAGUACUUUUAUUUCAGAUAGAUUUGUUCAUAUACCUACAACUACCCAUCUGUUGAUCAGCCUAUCUAUGUACCACCAGCUGAUGUCAUGCACCAAGCCAUAUACCAAAAACACAAAUAAUGCAAUGUCUGUUUUUGAAGAACUUAGUUUUAAUGGGAAUCCGAGAAAACAAUUUAAUAAAUGGAUGGUUACAAGGGACGACAAUGAGAGAGUAUAAGUCAUAAUA